UUUCUUCCACCCAUCCGCCACAUGUCCACCAGACACCUACGACCCUAACAAAUCCAAAGACCUUUACUUACGGGCACCAAACAUGGAAUACAUCCACCACUUGCCUACUCCUUUUCCGGCCACAAGGACGCACCAAACAUCCUAUCCAAAAUAGAACCCUAUUUCUUAUGGUGUAUGGUGCACAAGCGGCAGGUGAACCUCGUGUUUUGGAUUGCCAUAUAGUUUACCAACAUCAUCUCCUUCUAGUUGUCACUUAUUCUGGGCUCAGUCAUCACCUGACUCAUUGUCAGCGUGAUGCGGAACCUCAAGGCCCUUGCUUGAACCUUAGAACUCUUCAAUCGGUUUAGAACGGAAUUUAGAUCACAAGUAAAAAAAGG
rnacentral:lncRNA from 1 species